GAUAAAGACUUAGUUGAGUUGAGUAUUGAGCCACUGCCAAAGACUUUCAAAUUGCUAUAAUACAGCAACUGAUUUUGGAUGGGUGGGUUGCCUCUAUACCAUCUUUCUAUAAAAAAAAUAUGCUAUACCUUUCUUUAGCCAUAGAAUUUCGGUCCACCAACUUCUUUAGAUAUAUGAACUGUUGCCAGUUCUUACAAUCUUCUUUUGUCACUUAUGUCCUAUUGUUAUCUUCUUUUUUUGUUUUUUUU
rnacentral:misc_RNA from 1 species